rnacentral:rRNA from 1 species
GCGAAGGCAGCGUACCGGCGCCAGACUGACGCUGAGGCACGAAAGCGUGGGGAUCGAACAGGAUUAGAUACCCUGGUAGUCCACGCAGUAAACGAUGAAUGCUGGUUGUCCGGGUCGAAUGAGAUCUGGGCGACGAAGCGAAAGCGAUAAGCAUUCCACCUGGGGAGUACGCCGGCAACGGUGAAACUCAAAGGAAUUGACGGGGGCCCGCACAAGCGGAGGAACAUGUGGUUUAAUUCGAUGAUACGCGAGGAACCUUACCCGGGCUCAAACGGGAGCGGAAUGGACCAGAGACGGUUCAGCCUACGGGCCGCUUCCGAGGUGCUGCAUGGUUGUCGUCAGCUCGUGCCGUGAGGUGUCGGCUUAAGUGCCAUAACGAGCGCAACCCCCGCCGGCAGUUGCUAACGGGCAAUGCCGAGGACUCUGCCGGGACUGCCGCCGCAAGGCGAGAGGAAGGCGGGGAUGACGUCAAAUCAGCACGGCCCUUACGUCCGGGGCGACACACGUGUUACAAUGGGCGGUACAGCGGGAAGCCAGGCGGCGACGCCGAGCGGAACCCGAAAGCCGUUCUCAGUUCGGAUCGGAGUCUGCAACCCGACUCCGUGAAGCUGGAUUCGCUAGUAAUCGCGCAUCAGCCAUGGCGCGGUGAAUACGUUCCCGGGCCUUGUACACACCGCCCGUCAAGCCAUGGGAGCCGGGGGUGCUUGAAGUGCGUCGCCGCGAGGCGCGCCCUAGAGCAAAACCGGUGACUGGGGCUAAGUCGUAACAAGGUAACCGUAA